rnacentral:rRNA from 1 species
GACGAACGCUGGCGGCGUGCUUAACACAUGCAAGUCGAACGGUGAAAGCGGAGCUUGCUCCGCUGGAUCAGUGGCGAGCAGGUGAGUAACACGUGGGGAACCUGCCCCUCACUUCGGGAUAACUCCGGGAAACCGGGGCUAAUACCGGAUAUGACCUCCUUGGGCAUCCUUGGAGGUGGAAAGUUUUUCGGUGAGGGAUGGGCCCGCGGCCUAUCCGCUUGUUGGUGAGGUAGUGGCUCACCAAGGCGACGACGGGUAGCCGGCCUGAGAGGGCGACCGGCCACACUGGGACUGAGACACGGCCCAGACUCCUACGGGAGGCAGCAGUGGGGAAUAUUGCGCAAUGGGCGAAAGCCUGACGCAGCAACGCCGCGUGCGGGAUGACGGCCUUCGGGUUGUAAACCGCUUUCAGCAGGGAAGAAGCCGCAAGGUGACGGUACCUGCAGAAGAAGCACCGGCUAACUACGUGCCAGCCGCCGCCGUAA